rnacentral:rRNA from 1 species
GCGGCGGACGGGUGAGUAAUGCUUAGGAAUCUGCCUAUUAGUGGGGGACAACAUUCCGAAAGGAAUGCUAAUACCGCAUACGCCCUACGGGGGAAAGCAGGGGAUCUUCGGACCUUGCGCUAAUAGAUGAGCCUAAGUCAGAUUAGCUAGUUGGUGGGGUAAAGGCCUACCAAGGCGACGAUCUGUAGCUGGUCUGAGAGGACGACCAGCCACACUGGAACUGAGACACGGUCCAGACUCCUACGGGAGGCAGCAGUGGGGAAUAUUGGACAAUGGGGGCAACCCUGAUCCAGCCAUGCCGCGUGGGUGAAGAAGGCCUUCGGGUUGUAAAGCCCUUUUGUACGGGAAGAAAAGCUUCGGGUGAACAUCCUGGGGUCAUGACGGUACCGUAAGAAUAAGCACCGGCUAACUUCGUGCCAGCAGCCGCGGUAAUACGAAGGGUGCAAGCGUUACUCGGAAUUACUGGGCGUAAAGCGUGCG